rnacentral:rRNA from 1 species
AGGCUUUGGGCGAGAGUAGUACUAGGAUGGGUGACCUCCUGGGAAGUCCUCGUGUUGCACCCC